GACGAACGCUGGCGGCGUGCUUAACACAUGCAAGUCGAACGGAAAGGCCCUUCGGGGUACUCGAGUGGCGAACGGGUGGGUAACACGUGGGUGAUCUGCCCUGCACUUUGGGAUAAGCCUGGGCAACUGGGUCUAAUACCGAAUAGGACCACGCGCUUCAUGGUGUGUGGUGGAAAGCUUUGGCGGUGUGGGAUGGGCGCGCGGCCUAUCAGCUUGUUGGUGGGGUAAUGGCAUACCAAGGCGACGACGGGUAGCCGGCCUGAGAGGGUGACCGGCCACACUGGGACUGAGAUACGGCCCAGACUCCUACGGGAGGCAGCAGUGGGGAAUAUUGCACAAUGGGCGCAAGCCUGAUGCAGCGGCGCCGCGUGAGGGAUGACGGCCUUCGGGUUGUAAACCUCUUUCAGUAGGGACGAAGCGCAAGUGACGGUACCUAUAGAAGAAGCACCGGCCAACUACGUG
rnacentral:rRNA from 1 species